GCACACCUGAGUGAUGCAGUUGUAAAAGUCAUGCAGUGACUGUACGAGGAUCUCUCUGCAGGCUGCAGCCUGAGGCUCAGCUGCCCCCGGAGCAGCUACCGAGAAAGCCCCUGAGAUGUCUGAUGCUUCCAUCCAGAUGGAACUCCUAAGGAAGGACAGACAGUAGGAUGGCAAGGAGUGCCCAGACUCUUCUACCUGCAAAACAUGUGCACAGAAGAAGGGGAACAGCUCAGCUGAAUCUGAAGCCAGCACAGCCCAUUGUUUUGGCAUGAAAUCAGCAGAAUGGUAACUACAAGCACCACUGACAUAUUAUAAUCAAAUAAUCACAUGGAGCCCUUUCUGAGCAAGUCUUCCAGUUUCAGCACUGAGUGGUUAUUCACUAUUGAAAUGAAAAGCAUAAUUAACACUAAAUACUCUUUUAAAUAGAAUAAUGUUCCUUGCUGUU